UCCCUCGUAGCCCAACUGGUAGAGGCACCGGCAUUAGGAGCCGGGAGUUGCGAGUUCGAAUCUCGCCGAGGGAA
rnacentral:tRNA from 1 species